UGUACAUAUAUCGCGUUUAAUUCAAAAUUUAAGUCGUAAUUUAUAAAUUUUAUGAGUGCGUGAAAUUGUUUGUGUUUUUUUUUUUAUAAUUUUGUUCAAAAUUAAACGUGUGUGCCGAAAUUGAUCAGAAGUUUUCCAUAUACUUGCUAUUAUAAUUAAAUUCAUUUCUGUAACAUGUCUGUCAGUUCUAGUCUCUUGUCUAGUGGAUGUACUACUGGUGGAGAUAACGUUAUGUUCACUUCAUCCAAUUCAAACAAUAGUGUACCUCGAAAUACAUUUCCAGUAUUACGUUAUACCCGUAAAGAAUUGCUCUCAUUAUGCGAUAAAAACUAUAAAGUACCUGAAAUAUUACCAACGUUUAAGCAAAUAUUUGUGGAGAAGGUGCACUUGCCAUUAGCUGUUAUUACAAGCAGAGAUGAACUACUGCUAC